rnacentral:rRNA from 1 species
AGAGUUUGAUCCUGGCUCAGGAUGAACGCUGGCGGUCUGCUUAACACAUGCAAGUCGAACGGAGUAGAAAUACUUAGUGGCGGACGGGUGAGUAACGCGUGAGAAUCUGCCUUCAGGACGGAGACAACAGUUGGAAACGACUGCUAAGCCCCGAUGAACCGAAAGGGAAAAUAUUUAUAGCCUGAAGAUGAGCUCGCGUCCGAUUAGCUAGUUGGGGGGGUAAAGGCCCACCAAGGCGACGAUCGGUAGCUGGUCUGAGAGGACGAUCGGCCACACUGGGACUGAGACACGGCCCAGACUCCUACGGGAGGCAGCAGUGGGGAAUUUUCCGCAAUGGGCGAAAGCCUGACGGAGCAAGACCGCGUGAGGGAGGAAGGCUCUUGGGUUGUAAACCUCUUUUGUCAGGGAAGAACACAAUGACGGUACCUGACGAAUCAGCAUCGGCUAACUCCGUGCCAGCAGCCGCGGUAAUACGGAGGAUGCAAGCGUUAUCCGGAAUUAUUGGGCGUAAAGCGUCCGCAGGUGGCUUAUCAAGUCUGCGGUCAAAGACCGGGGCUUAACCCUGGAAAGGCCGUGGAAACUGAUAAAGCUAGAGUACCGUAGGGGUAGAGGGAAUUCCCGGUGUAGCGGUGAAAUGCGUAGAGAUCGGGAAGAACAUCGGUGGCGAAAGCGCUCUACUGGACGGUGACUGACACUCAGGGACGAAAGCUAGGGGAGCGAAUGGGAUUAGAUACCCUAGUAGUCC